AAAAGACGUGUAAAAUGUUGCAAAUUGAGCAAAUAUAUAUGCAUAUAUGGGUAAUGUUUUACGCGCCUUAA
rfam:Drosophila sechellia strain Rob3c scaffold_36 genomic scaffold, whole genome shotgun sequence.